rnacentral:rRNA from 1 species
UACGAAGGGGGCUAGCGUUGUUCGGAAUUACUGGGCGUAAAGCGCGUGUAGGCGGUUGCCCUAGUCAGGUGUGAAAGCCUUGAGCUUAACUCAAGAAAUGCACUUGAUACUGGGCGACUAGAGGACCGGAGAGGAUAGUGGAAUUCCCAGUGUAGUGGUGAAAUACGUAGAGAUUGGGAAGAACACCAGUGGCGAAGGCGGCUAUCUGGACGGUUACUGACGCUAAGACGCGAAAGCGUGGGGAGCAAACAGG